UUUUUUUUCUGUCAGGAGCUCCUCGUGAAAUUUUAAUCCAACACAAUAAUGGCUUCAAACAUUUGCAAGUUCCUCAGACAGAUAGUAACAUCCUGAUACCAUAUGGCUAUCCUACAGCCUUUCUGAAAGAGAAGGUUACCAAACCACCAUGUCACCAUUUAAGAAAGAAAGGAAGAAAUAAAAACACACAAAAAAAAUUAAUCUAUAAUUAUUUUUUAAUAACAUAAAAUAUAGUAUAUAAAUGGCUCUUGCCAAUGUAGGCUAAUAGAUCAAUUACUCAACCUUUACCUAUGGUCAUUACCCUAUAAAAUUCUUCUUCUUCUGGCAAUAUUUAACUUGUAUCCAAUAUUUUCCUUCUGCUGGCAAUCUCUCCCAGCUAAUUCACUCAACAAUUCUACAACAAUGUUGCCAGAAGCCAAAAUAUGAAUCUUGGACAUUAGCAGGUAAGGAAUACUUGUGUAUACCGGACAGGUUUAGGCUUUUAUAUAUCCAACCAGAAAUGAGACUGACAAUAUUUAACUUUUUUGGGAUAACAAAACACAAAGGUUAACCAUACUCUUGCAUCCAUCAGGAGGUGAGAUUAUAAAUAUUACAAGGACAACAAAAUAAUCUUCUAAGAGCCUUCUGGAAUUCCUCGGACAAGAAGUUGUUGGACUCCAAUAUAUGAUGGAAAAAGAGUUGGGCUGAGACGGAAUGGAUUUGUUAAGACUUUCUAUCCAAUUCUCAAAUUAUGAGAUAGAUGGUGAGGAUCUGAGUAAAAAUUCAGAAAACUAACUAGCUAUUCAUGGAAAAAGAGGUUCAUCAGCACUUGCUAUUAUAACACUCCAGAAGAAAUCUAGUACGAAGACAAAAGAAUCAGAAUAUGCAAACGAUGCUCCAGCCAACCAUAUAUCUUAAGAUAGUCAAAAGUAAUAUGAGGCCUAGUAUCACUAAUAUCAUGUUGUUCCUCUAUAUACUGUGGUACAUAGCUCCCAUUGAUGUUUGCCAUGUCAUACAGAGAAAGUACAGCAUCAGUUAAUUUUAAUUCGGAGGGAAAAAUGGAAGGAUGAGUAAUGAUUCCAAUGAUUAUUACUUUUCAGAAAAAGCAGCAAAUUUUGGAUUUACAGACAGGAUUUACAAAUACAAGGAUAUUUUCAAGAAAUGCUAAGUGUGCUUCUCUCCAUAUGUUAUUUACUGAAUAAUUUCUUGAUAUUUACAUAUUCAAGCAGCUUUUGCAUAAAUACCUAGUUCACAGGGUUGCCAGUUUCAGAGCUCUGGGUUCCUCUAAUGCGUCUUUAGUUUGUCGCCACUCAUUCAUCUCACUCUUUGCUCAAACCACUUAUUUGUUACUGGAACAUCUAUGUUACGGAAUAUCCAACAAUUCAGUAAGACUCCUAGUUCUUUGGUCUCCCAUUUUGCAUUCUCUUGUCCGUUGUUCACUUGGAGCUUUUGCUUUCUGUAUGGAGCACCUAAGAUAUAUUGCUCGUAAUGCAUCCAGGUCCGGUGUCCAUUUUCUAAUGACAGUGUGGGUCGGUUUCAUUAGAAUGGCACGCUCCCAAUUCUGACUAUUAUAGACCUAGCCAAUCUGGUUGAUAUCCAAACAGAAAAUAUGGAUAUCCUUCAAGCUAACACCAGAAUGAUAUUAGAAAAUUAACUCAAGGAGCUGAAUAGCUUGGACUACUUCGUAGUGCAUCCUUAUUGUCUUCACAGAUAGAAAUUAGAGAAGUGCUUGUGUGAAAUUUGAUAAAAAAAAAAAAAAAGGAGUUUAAAGGAACAUCAGAUCCUAGUUCUUUUGCCCUGAAUCUUUUGUUACAAAAGCACAAAAAGUUUACUAUUGCUGCACCUGAAAUGUUCUAAUUUCCUUCUAAAGCUUGUCACAUAGUAAAUGAGUAGUCUAUCACUUGCAGUGAGAGCUCUUUCAGUCUUUUGUUUGUUUUAAAGCAAUUAUCGUUCCUAGAGUAAUUUGUGUUGUUGCAAUUUGCAUCAUCAAACAUAUUAUGAAGUAUGACUGAUUGAUGAUGUGCAAAUUAAAAAUCAUGCCAUGGCACUUAUUGGCAAAUCUCUUUAUUUCACUUCAAGAAUCAGAAAAUGUGAAAAUGUAAUCCACCUGAUAACUAAGGUUUUGAAUUAGGUGGUACUCCACAUAUAGAUAUGAGCCAUUUUACUAGCAAAUCAAUUAGGUUCAGUGCCCACCUCAGCUAUGUCAGAUUUCCUCCCUGAAAAUAGUAUGCCGAGGUCCAACCACAAGUAUCAGAACUAUACUUCUUAUUAGCAGGCCGGCAGGCUUCAACACUACGAAGUGCUGCAGUGAGAAUAACGAAGGAUGCCUGCCAUAACACAGAUGAAGUGGACGAACCUCAUUCUUUAUCGACUGACUAACGAAACUCCUAGGGAGCAUGAGAAGUUGAGAAUUUGGAAUAUGAGGCAAUCAAUGGUGGAAGAGAUCCCCCAAGAAUUUGCACAAAAUCCAUUCUACGUUAUCUGACUGACAAAACUUCUAAGGUCCAUGAGUUAAGCUGAGAAUUUGUGGUAUGAAGUGUUCCAGUUGGUUCUAACCAUAAAAAUGUAUGUAGGAGUACCUAUGACGGAAUGAGAACCUUAAGAUACUCAGUGUUUGAGUUCAGGCAACACAAUUACUAGUUAGCUCGUCCAUCAAUCGAAAGAGCACUUUAGAAAUCAUAAUUAUACACCAUAAUC
rnacentral:lncRNA from 1 species